GGCGUCGGUUGUUAAUUAAACAAUCUGAACUCUCCAAAUCGACUCAUUGCUGAACGAUUACACAUCUAAAACUCAAGGAUCUGUGGUUGGGCUUGUUGAUGCCUGAUAUACCUUUGAUGAGAACCAGUUAACCUUGCAUCCACCUCCUUAGACAAUCAGUUGCUCGACGGUCAGGUUUUUUUUUCCCCCUUCAUCAAAUUGCUUGAUGACGGAGGAUGGCRAGCUACCCACACACCACCUAGUGGUAGGAAAUCAAAAAACACUUUUCACGCAGGAAAACCAAGACACUUUUCUCACAGGAAACAAACUAAACUCUAAGGGAGUAUCAAAAGGAAAAGAACUAUUCUCCCGUUGCUUUUGGACUCCUUUUUGAAUUGCAUUUGGUUCUGAAGUGUUACUGAUUGUUAUUAUUUCUUUGUUGGUUUCUUUUCCCCCCUCAUUGCUUCUUUUGAACAAUUUAUUUUUGUUUAGUCUUUUUGUUAUUUUUAUUUUUUUGUCAUCAUUAUUAUCAUUAUUAUUGCCACUGCAAUAAAAAGCAGUAUACACAAAGCUCUUUGCCUCAGUUGCAUCAAUUAUCCACCCAACCCUGACUCCAUGCCGUACCUACUUCUGAUUCUCCAAGUGGUUAACACUAAAUCUUGCAGUCAGACCUGCGCAUUACCCAACAGCGUUAC